GAUGAACGCUGGCGGCGUGCCUAAUACAUGCAAGUCGAGCGAACAGACGAGGAGCUUGCUCCUCUGACGUUAGCGGCGGACGGGUGAGUAACACGUGGAUAACCUACCUAUAAGACUGGGAUAACUUCGGGAAACCGGAGCUAAUACCGGAUAAUAUAUUGAACCGCAUGGUUCAAUAGUGAAAGACGGUUUUGCUGUCACUUAUCGAUGGAUCCGCGCCGCAUUAGCUAGUUGGUAAGGUAACGGCUUACCAAGGCAACUAUGCGUAGCCGACCUGAGAGACGGAUCGGCCACACUGGAACUGAGACACGGUCCAGACGCCUACGGGAGGCAGCAGUAGGGAAUCUUCCGCAGUGGGCGAAAGCCUGACGGAGCAACGCCGCGUGAGUGAUGAAAGUCUUCGGAUCGUAAAACUCUGUUAUUAGGGAAGAACAAAUGUGUAAGUAACUAUGCACGGCUUGACGGUACCUAAUCAGAAAGCCACGGCUAACUACGUG
rnacentral:rRNA from 1 species